rnacentral:rRNA from 1 species
GAUGAACGCUAGCGGCAGGCUUAACACAUGCAAGUCGAGGGGUAGAGGUUGCUUGCAACCUUGAGACCGGCGCACGGGUGCGUAACGCGUAUGCAACCUACCUUUUACAGAGGGAUAGCCCAGAGAAAUUUGGAUUAAUACCUCAUAGUAUAUAACCUUCGCAUGUUGGUUAUACUAAAGUUCCAACGGUAAAAGAUGGGCAUGCGUCCUAUUAGCUAGAUGGUAAGGUAACGGCUUACCAUGGCAACGAUAGGUAGGGGUCCUGAGAGGGAGAUCCCCCACACUGGUACUGAGACACGGUCCAGACUCCUACGGGAGGCAGCAGUGAGGAAUAUUGGACAAUGGGCGCAAGCCUGAUCCAGCCAUGCCGCGUGCAGGAAGAAGCAUCUAUGGUGUGUAAACUGCUUUUGUACAGGAAGAAACACCCCGACGUGUCGGGGCUUGACGGUACUGUAAGAAUAAGGAUCGGCUAACUCCGUGCCAGCCGCCGCAGUAA